AGCUCUGUAAGCGUAUACCAAAGUUGUUGCAGUUAAAACGCUCGUAGUCGGAAUUUGGUGGGCGAGACAGGUCAUCUUUGCGGAUGAACUUGUAUCGGCCACCUUUGUGGAGGGGGGCUUAGUGGUGCUUUAUUGCCUCGCUAAGUCGCUGCCACCGUUUACUGUGAAAAAAUUGGAGUGUUCAAAGCAGGCGUUUGCCUUGUACACAUUAGCAUGGAAUAAUAGAAUAGGACCUGGUUCUAUUUUGUUGGUUUGUGAGAAUUAGGUAAUGAUUAAGAGGGACGGUUGGGGGCAUUUGUAUUCUGCCGUCAGAGGUGAAAUUCUUAGAUUGGCGGAAGACAAACAGCUGCGAAAGCGUCUGCCAAGGACGUUUUCAU
rnacentral:rRNA from 1 species